CCGGCCUCCACCCGCGCCUCCGCCCGUCACGCGCAAGCAAGUGGCGGGUUUCCUCUGGAGUGUUCUCUCGGUUCUCUACUUUAAACUGAAAUAGCUGAGGUUUCAUUUGCAGACUUGCCCUGUCUCACGAAGUUCAUGAAUCUCUGAACACUAAAGCCUUACAUAGGGAGAGUGCUGUGAGAAUACUAGAGGAAGGCAGUUUCUACUGUUAAGAACGCUUAACGGGUGUUGGGUUUUUUACAAAUUGAAGGCAUGGCCAGCAAAAAGAUUACAACUCACUUGAUUGCCAUACCCUUUUAUUAUGGAGGUCUGGAGCCAAACCCACAAUAUCUCUGAGCCCUGCUUGCUCCAGAGAUAACAAAGUGGUCCCGAAAUACUGGAAGCUGUGUUGUUGCUAAACCUGGACUCAAAUGGCACUGGUUCAUUAGGACGACUUCUGUGCACAUUUAGAAGGUGUCGGCAUCCAAGAGGAGCACAAGGUGGAUAACAAUACACCUCGCACACAGCCACCUCGCAUACACCUGACCAGGGGCUAACUCAUGUCCUCUCAAAUCUAAGUUUGGAGACAUUUGCUUUCAGGGAUAGACCUUGACUGCUUGGCUUUUCUUAAACUGGAGAAUUCCAAGGACUGGAAGCAUAUGGAUGAGGAUGUAACAGAAGAGUUGUAAGCACUCACAAAAUGUGAACUAGUACUUUCAGGAGAGUUCCAUCUAAACACCCUCACCCCCACCCACCCAUCCACCCAUUUCCUCUGGGAACAGGAAAUGACUGUAGUGCUGGGCAAUAAGGCUAAAGAAAGGUCUUCCACCCAACCACCGCUGCCCAUUAGAUAUUGAUAAAGCAGGGGCUGUAAGUGUCUCAUCUGGGCAGCUGGCAUGCCAAAUAGCCACCACUGUUAGGCUUAGUUUAAUAUUCCUUCCUUCACCUACUCCUAUACCCCAUUUUACUUUUAGAACUAUGUGAUUAGACCUACUAUGGAGAAUCCUCUUGCUGUGCUGAAUACUAGUAUCAGAACAGUUUCUAAGCCAAGGCAGAAGCAUCCAACAACAGGGGCUGGAGAGAGGGCAUAAGAUAGGAAGGUGACAAACAGCCUCCAAGCAGAUCCCCACCAUCUCUCACUUCCCACUAGAUGUUUUUUUUUUAAUAAUUUUAAAAAAAUUGAUUUGAGAGAAAGAAACAUUGCUUUGUUGUUCUGUUAUGUAUUCAUUG